UACAGAGGGUGCAAGCGUUAAUCGGAAUUACUGGGCGUAAAGCGUGCGUAGUCGGUUAUUUAAGUCGGGUGUGAAAGCCCCGGGCUCAACCUGGGAAUUGCAUUCGAUACUGGAUAGCUAGAGUUCGGCAGAGGGAAGCGGAAUUUCCGGUGUAGCGGUGAAAUGCGUAGAUAUCGGAAGGAACAUCAGUGGCGAAAGCGGCUUCCUGGACCAGAACUGACGAUCAGGCACGAAAGCGUAGGGAGCAAACAGG
rnacentral:rRNA from 1 species